GAUGAACGCUGGCGGCGUGCCUAACACAUGCAAGUCGAACGCGCAGCACCCUUCGGGGUGUGGGCGAGUGGCGAACGGGUGCGUAACACGUAGGAACCUGCCCUGGAGUGGGGGACAACGGCUGGAAACGGUCGCUAAACCCGCAUGACCUCCUUCGGGAGGAAAACGUAAGUGCUCCAGGAUGGGCCUGCGGCCUAUCAGGUAGUUGGUAGGGUAACGGCCUACCAAGCCGACGACGGGUAGGGGGCGUGAGAGCGUGGCCCCCCACACGGGAACUGAGACACGGUCCCGACGCCUACGGGCGGCAGCAGUGAGGAAUCUUGCGCAAUGGGGGCAACCCUGACGCAGCGACGCCGCGUGCGGGAUGAAGGCCUUCGGGUCGUAAACCGCUUUUCUGGAGGACGAGUAAGGACGGUACUCCAGGAAUAAGUCCCGGCUAACUACGUGCCAGCAGCCGCGGUAAAACGUAGGGGGCGAGCGUUAUCCGGAAUCACUGGGCGUAAAGGGCAUCUAGGCGGCUGUCUAAGUCCUGCGUGAAAGCUCCCGGCUCAACUGGGAGAGCGCGUGGGAGACUGGGGAGCUAGAGACUCGGAGAGGGGUGUGGAAUUCCCGGUGGAGUGGUGAAAUGCGUUGAGAUCGGGAGGAACACCAGUGGCGAAGGCGGCACCCUGGCCGAGGUCUGACGCUGAAGUGCGACAGCGUGGGGAGCGAACGGGAUUAGAUACCCCGGUAGUCCACGCCGUAAACGAUGACAACUAGGUGUCGGGGGUCCAAGGACGCUCGGUACCGCAGCCAACGCGGUAAGUUGUCCGCCUGGGGAGUACGGCCGCAAGGCUA
rnacentral:rRNA from 1 species